ensembl:lncRNA
UCCCGGGCAGGGCGUGGUGAAGGUGCGUCGUCCGUCAGCGUGGUCCGCAUCUAGGCUUUCUGAAGUAUAUUCCAGGGUCGCUCCAGAGACCCCCAGGCUACUAAAUCUGAAUCCGUUCGUGUGGUCCAACCUUCCUCUUCAGGAGGUGUACAAUCUGCUUCAGUAUUCUUCAUAAUGGCCAAUGGGGGAGAAGAUAAUAUUACUCCCCUAUCGCAAGUUCAUUGGCCAUGGAAGUCAGAAUCUGCUAAGAAGUGUGUAACAACUCACCUGCUGGAUCAACUAGCCCUGAAAAUGGAUGACACUGGAGUGUCGGGCCCAUACCUGGCCAUUGCCGGCAGUCGAGAGUGGAAGGGAGUGGUGGUGUGGGUGCACGAAGACCAUGUAUAUAAGAUGGAAAGAGGUUGACAGAUUUUAAAAUAUGUUUUGGACAUUAAAUCAACACGAUAUGAAGUUGGGUUAGAUGUGAGGAGUAGGAAAAGAAAGGCGUCAAGAAUGACUCAGCCUUCAGGCUUCAGAAACUGGGUAGAGACUAGCAUCUAAGGAAAGGCUGGGGAGUGGCUUGGUUGGGUGAACAUUGGGAGAAGGCUUGGAAAAUUAAGAGUUCUGUUAUGGACAUUUAAAGUUUGAGAUAUCUCUCAGAUAUAGUCAUGGAAAUGUUAAAUGAGCAGUUAUAGAUUGUUCUGGAGCCCAGAGGAUCAGGACUGGAGAUAGAACUCUUGGAGUCUAUGAUGCAUAUUUAUUUUAAAUUGUGGGAUUAAAUGGAAUUUCCUAUGCACGGGGUAGUGUAAGAAAAGGAGUAGCACUGAGUCCUGAACUACUCCAACAGUUUGGGUGGAAGAGGUGGGGCCAGCAAUGGAGAUUGACAAAAAAAUCUGAGAGACAAAAACAAAAAAGAAGAGUGUGGGAAAGAUUAUGUGCUUGACCAAACUUAAAUCCAGUUCCUGAACAUUUUUCUGAAUCCAUCUGUGUAAUUUUAAAAUCCAAUUUUAGCAAAACUGGUCUUAUGUCAGUUUAUUAAGAACCCCUCCACCUUGUCCUCCCUAUCUGUGAUACCUAUCUAAUCCUCCUAUCCUCCAGCAUCCCCCAAAUGGUGGGAUGUCUGAUCACCUUGCCUUGCCUUUAGCAAGAUUUCUAUUAGUUAGGCGUAGCCAGAGUCCCCCUUUCCCCUGUUAGUAAUUUUCUAUCCUGAGACCCUCACCCUGCUCCUUGGCUGUGAGUUCCCGGUUCCCUAUGUUGUGUUUGGAAUUGAGCCCAAUUCUACACCAAGAUCCCUUUCCCCCUAUUGCAAUAAUCCUAAAUAAAAGCUGUUUUUACUGCUUCAACUACUAUCCAGCUCCAGUUUUUCUUUGAUAAGUGCAAGGAAGUGAAGACUGUUUCAUGAAGAAGAAAGUUGUUUUUUAAGAAAAUAAUUGUUCACUGGAUUUGACAAAAUGGAUGUCUGUAGUGCCUUUUGGUGAUUUACAGAGGACUGAAGAGUGAAUUGGAGGAGAGGAAGUGCAGAAAAUCUUUGCAGACAACAUGUUGUGUGAGUACUGGCUGAGAAAGAGAACAGAUGAUGAGGCUGUGCACUUACAGGACUGGGAGUCAAGUGGGGGUGGUUUGCAUGUGUUUUGAGCUGGAUGUUGAUGGGAAGCAAAGAGGAUUCUGCUGGAUGUGGAGCAAGAAAAUGAAGGAAUGAGCUUUCUGUAGGGAAAGAGGGAACAGGAUCCUGGCCCAAAGCAUGAAGUGGCCUUUGAUUCUCUUAACAGGAAGGAAGUAACAAGAGG